rnacentral:lncRNA from 1 species
CUCAGUCCUAUCGUAGCGAACACUUCACUCCACAGAGAGGAGAGGUGAAAACAGAAUACCGAGUUCACUGAUGGUGGUAUUUUGUUGUUAUGUGUAGAGGACUGAAAUCGGAGAGGAGGAAGGGAGAAUUUAUCAAGGCCAAGAAAGGAUAUUGUUUGUGAAUCUUUGCAGAAUGGAAUAGCAGAGAAGAAUUGGUGGGGGAGAGUUUGGGUUGGGUUUUCGUUGGGAUCGACAAUGGUUAGUAGUAAACUACAAAGGGAGGGCAUAUGCUCAAAGAGUUGAGCCAAAGCUUGCUUUGGUUGAGGUACAGCUGCCAAAUGAGGCAUUCCUAGAGAAUUGGGAACCUACUAAAAGCUCUUAUCUAGUAUUAAAAGCACCUGGGAUGAAUGUGCUGAAGGUUUCCUUGAGUACACCGCAAGAAAUAGCAGAUGGGGUUUCAGUAUGGGAGUGGUCUGGUGCUGCGCUAGAUAAUUAAGGUUAAGUUCCCUUUCAGAAUUUAAC